AAGAACAGAUCCAGCAGUUGAUAGCAGCAUAGAUUUCAGAUGAGGGUAACUUGAAAAUUUGCAUUUCAAUGCUCGGUACAUAGUGUCGAGUUUGGCAGUUCGCCAAUCAGAUCGUAUCUGCAAUGAAAAUUCCCAAAGAUUAUCAGGUGAAUGCUCUAUCUAGUUUGCGUGAGAAUGUGUUUCGGCAUGCUAACAUCUUGUUCCUUUUCCCCCUAAACUUGGAAUUUUCAACUGUUUUUUUAUUGAUUUUUGUGUUGAAAAUUAAAAAGGAUUUCCAACAAAUACUGAAGAUCUAGCUAAGAGCUUUAGAAAAGAUGAGCAACCUCGUUUUUCUUCAUAAGAUCUUAUAUUUUGAAAACAAUAAAUCUCAAACCCUUUUAUUUAUUUUUCUUUUUCAACCUUGAGAUUGAACAUGAUUUUCCAAGUCUAAAAAGAUGUCUUUAAUUCCUAUCAAUAAACUAUUCUAGCAAAGAGCUCUACAAGCAUUUUACCACACCACUAUGGCUUUUAAUACCCAACAGAGCCCACGAAAUACCUCAUGAAGGGAAUAAGCUGUGAAUAAAAUCACAUCUUUGAUCUAUAAGUUUUAUACAAAAAUCACAUCUUCACAUCAUGCCAAAAGAAACAAAGCUGACUUAAAACCAAACUAGUAAGAUAAGCAAUACCAUUUUAGGGUGUUGCCUCUGCAUUAAUCUUCCUAUUCUUGCUGCUUCCUCUGGACUUCUUGCCGAUUUUAUCUUUUCCACACAAUCCUGAGCUACAGGAUCAUCGAUACCCACAAAUUUGUGAGCCUGCAUAUUCAAGGAAGGUUAGGCACUAUACUGCAUUUUGAAAGUAAGACGAUAAUUCAAGCAAAGGGUGGGCAUACCUGAUAAUAAUGCUCAACCGUCAACCAAGUGCAACCAUUGCCAU
rnacentral:lncRNA from 1 species